GUAGAGGUGCCAGAAAAUUUUAUGGGGUUAAUUUAGGGUUAAUUUAUGACCUUUAAAGUCUCUCUAUU
rnacentral:tRNA from 1 species